rnacentral:rRNA from 1 species
CACGCAGGCGGUUCGAUAAGUUGGAUGUGAAAGCUCCUGGCUUAACUGGGAGAGGUCGUUCAAUACUAUCGGACUUGAGGAUGAGAGAGGGAGGUGGAAUUCCGGGUGUAGUGGUGGAAUGCGUAGAUAUUCGGAGGAACACCAGUGGCGAAAGCGGCCUCCUGGCUCAUAACUGACGCUCAUGUGCGAAAGCUAGGGUAGCAAACG